rnacentral:rRNA from 1 species
UACGUAGGGGGCUAGCGUUGUCCGGAAUCAUUGGGCGUAAAGAGCGUGUAGGCGGUCCGGUAAGUCCGCUGUGAAAGUCGGGGGCUCAACCUCGAGAUGUCGGCGGAAACCGUCUGGCUAGAGUCCGGAAGAGGAGAGUGGAAUUCCUGGUGUAGCGGUGAAAUGCGCAGAUAUCAGGAAGAACACGCGUGGCGAAGGCGGCUCUCUGGGACGGUACUGACGCUGAGACGCGAAAGCGUGGGGAGCGAACAGG